rnacentral:snRNA from 1 species
AACUUUGCUCAGUGGCAGUAUCGUAGCCAAUGAGGUUUAUCCGAGGCGUGAUUAUUGCUAAUUGAAAACUUUUCCCAUAUUACCAAUUAGUGCUCUUUUUGUAAAAA